rnacentral:rRNA from 1 species
UACGAAGGGGGCUAGCGUUGUUCGGAUUUACUGGGCGUAAAGCGCGUGUAGGCGGGUCGUUAGGUUGGAGGUGAAAUCCCGAGGCUCAACCUCGGAACUGCCUUCAAAACUGGCGACUUGGAGCGUGAUAGAGGCGAGUGGAAUUGCGAGUGUAGAGGUGAAAUUCGUAGAUAUUCGCAAGAACACCAGUGGCGAAGGCGGCUCACUGGCCCGGUACUGACGCUGAGGUGCGAAAGCGUGGGGAGCAAACAGG